rnacentral:rRNA from 1 species
GACGAACCGUGCGAACGUUUGUUCGGAUUCACUGGGCUUAAAGGGCGCGUAGGCGGGCGGUCAAGUCAGGGGUGAAAUCUUUCGGCUCAACCGGAAAAGUGCCUUUGAUACUGGCCGUCUCGAGGGAGGUAGGGGCAUGCGGAACUUCCGGUGGAGCGGUGAAAUGCGUAGAUAUCGGAAGGAACGCCGGGUGGCGAAAGCGGCGUGCUGGACCUCUUCUGACGCUGAGGCGCGAAAGCCAGGGGAGCAAAGCGGG